GAUCCUGGCUCAGGAUGAACGCUGGCGGCGUGCCUAAUACAUGCAAGUCGAGCGAACAGAUAAGGAGCUUGCUCCUUUGACGUUAGCGGCGGACGGGUGAGUAACACGUGGAUAACCUACCUAUAAGACUGGGAUAACUUCGGGAAACCGGAGCUAAUACCGGAUAAGAUUUUGAACCGCAUGGUUCAAUAGUGAAAGACGGCCUUGCUGUCACUUAUAGAUGGAUCCGCGCCGUAUUAG
rnacentral:rRNA from 1 species